GACGAACGCUGGCGGCGUGCUUAACACAUGCAAGUCGAACGGAAAGGCCUGCUUUCCCUUGUGGAUUCGGGUGACUCGCGUGGCAAACGGGUGAGUAACACGUGCGUGUUCUUCUCCCAACUUUGGUAUAAGCCUGGGAUACUGGGUCUAAUUCCCGCCAGCACCGCAGUGUGGUUCCUGUGGUGGAAAACGUUUUUCUAGUGGUUGGGGCUUAGCGCGUGGCCUAUCAGCUUGUUGGUGGGGUAGUGUCCGACCAAGGCGGCGACGGGUAGCCGGCCUGGGAGGGGGGACCGGCACAGUGGGACUGAGACACGGGCCAGACGCCUAGGGGAGGCAGCAGUGGGGAAUAAGGCACAAGGGGUGGUAGCCUGAGGGAGCGACGCUGCGGGGGGGAUGACGGGCGUCGGGUGGUGAACUCCGUGCGGCCGCGAGGAAGCCACUUGGAUGGAAGGGGGGUGACGGUAGUGGUAGAAGAAGCACCGGCUAACUACGUG
rnacentral:rRNA from 1 species